rnacentral:rRNA from 1 species
UACGUAGGUGGCAAGCGUUGUCCGGAUUUAUUGGGUUAAAGGGUGCGUAGGCGGCUUGUAAGUCAGUGGUGAAAUAUGGCAGCUCAACUGUCAAGGUGCCAUUGAUACUGCAGAGCUUGAGUACAGAUGAGGUAGGCGGAAUUGACGGUGUAGCGGUGAAAUGCUUAGAUAUCGUCAAGAACACCUAUAGCGAAGGCAGCUUACUAGGCUGUAACUGACGUGAGGAGCGAAAGCGUGGGGAGCGAACAGG